rnacentral:rRNA from 1 species
UUAGAUUGAAGAAGCUUGCUUCUGAUUGAUAACAUUUGAGUGAGUGGCGGACGGGUGAGUAACACGUGGGUAACCUGCCCUAAAGUGGGGGAUAACAUUUGGAAACAGAUGCUAAUACCGCAUAAAACCUAGCACCGCAUGGUGCAAGGUUGAAAGAUGGUUUCGGCUAUCACUUUAGGAUGGACCCGCGGUGCAUUAGUUAGUUGGUGAGGUAAAGGCUCACCAAGACCGUGAUGCAUAGCCGACCUGAGAGGGUAAUCGGCCACACUGGGACUGAGACACGGCCCAGACUCCUACGGGAGGCAGCAGUAGGGAAUCUUCCACAAUGGACGAAAGUCUGAUGGAGCAACGCCGCGUGAGUGAAGAAGGUUUUCGGAUCGUAAAACUCUGUUGUUGGAGAAGAACGUAUUUGAUAGUAACUGAUCAGGUAGUGACGGUAUCCAACCAGAAAGCCACGGCUAACUACGUGCCAGCAGCCGCGGUAAUACGUAGGUGGCAAGCGUUGUCCGGAUUUAUUGGGCGUAAAGCGAGCGCAGGCGGUUUCUUAAGUCUGAUGUGAAAGCCUUCGGCUCAACCGAAGAAGUGCAUCGGAAACUGGGAAACUUGAGUGCAGAAGAGGACAGUGGAACUCCAUGUGUAGCGGUGAAAUGCGUAGAUAUAUGGAAGAACACCAGUGGCGAAGGCGGCUGUCUGGUCUGUAACUGACGCUGAGGCUCGAAAGCAUGGGUAGCAAACAGGAUUAGAUACCCUGGUAGUCCAUGCCGUAAACGAUGAGUGCUAGGUGUUGGAGGGUUUCCGCCCUUCAGUGCCGCAGCUAACGCAUUAAGCACUCCGCCUGGGGAGUACGACCGCAAGGUUGAAACUCAAAGGAAUUGACGGGGGCCCGCACAAGCGGUGGAGCAUGUGGUUUAAUUCGAAGCAACGCGAAGAACCUUACCAGGUCUUGACAUCCUUUGACCACUCUGGAGAUAGAGCUUUCCCUUCGGGGACAAAGUGACAGGUGGUGCAUGGUUGUCGUCAGCUCGUGUCGUGAGAUGUUGGGUUAAGUCCCGCAACGAGCGCAACCCUUAUUACUAGUUGCCAGCAUUUAGUUGGGCACUCUAGUGARACUGCCGGUGAC